rnacentral:lncRNA from 1 species
ACACACUUACUGCUCUGUGGCUUGCUUUUUCUAGCGGGAACUUUGGCCAGCGACCAGAGGCAGACAGCAGAGGUGAGCAGCAUCCAGACGUCUGUUGUUCCUAGUCCUGAGGAAGUCAAGCCCCUCUCGCGUGGAAACAGAAACAAAACCAGACAGAACGCUGUCUGACAGUGGCAGCUGGAUGAAUCUGAAUGCGGGGCGACUCCAGGAAGUCCUCAGAGCCAUGCUGGUCCUUCAGGAAGCUGCUGUCUUACUGUGUGAUGGGAAGGGAGAGAAAACAACACUUGAGUGAGUCUUAGAUGUGGAAAAUCACUCCUCAGGAUUUCACGAGGCAAAACCGCACAGAACGAACGAAUGACUUAAUCACUGAAGGACACAUGCUUAUACAAUUCAAAUGAUCCAGAGCCGUCUG